rnacentral:lncRNA from 1 species
ACUGGAAAGAAAGGAAGGUCCGCUCAAUUGAAGAGAUCAUAUUGGGCUCCUAUGUGUCAUUAAUGUCGAUGAGUUUACUAUCUUUCUAAUAUUUGAUUAUCAUUUCUUCUACCAAACUAUUGACUUAGCAAGAUUUAUUUUUGUAGCUGGCACAUGACGUAAUGAUUUUGUUCAAAAGGUUGACCGCCUUUGGAUGGCUCAAUCGCCAGCUAGAAGACAAGGCUUAGACUACUAACGCUUAGUGUAAAAUCCCUACUCAUGAUCUAGCUUCAUCGCAAACCCUAGAAGGGAUGCUUAGCUAGACAUGAUCUAAAUCUACUUACAAAAUUUAAAUACAGAAAAAUAAACUACCCUAAUUUCAUAAUUUAAACUAACCUAAUUGCAUAAAAUUAAAUUGCAUAAAUUAAACUAUCCUAAUUGCAAGAAAAAUAAAUUGCAUAAUGUAAAGAGAUGAAAUUGCAUAAAAAGAAGAUUUUAUAUAUA